rnacentral:rRNA from 1 species
UACGUAGGGCGCAAGCGUUAUCCGGAAUUAUUGGGCGUAAAGAGCUCGUAGGCGGUUUGUCGCGUCUGCCGUGAAAGUCCGGGGCUCAACUCCGGAUCUGCGGUGGGUACGGGCAGACUAGAGUGAUGUAGGGGAGACUGGAAUUCCUGGUGUAGCGGUGAAAUGCGCAGAUAUCGGGAGGAACACCGGUGGCGAAGGCGGGUCUCUGGGCCGAUACUGACGCUGAGGAGCGAAAGCGUGGGGAGCAAACAGG